GCCGCUCUCUAUUUCACUCUCCCAAUUCUCUCCUUCACGAUCAAACGCCGCCGGUUUCUUCUCUCUCCGUCGUCUAAAGUCUUUACCUCUCUCGCCGACUGGAGUGGCGUUCCGAUCGUUCUGUCUUCCUUAAUAUCACGUUUUUUCAGAUCAAUAUGGCCGCGAGAGCAUCAGCGAAAUAUUUCAGAGAAUUUCUGUUCAGAAGGACAACUUCAAGUCCUCUUGGAGCUUCCAGACAUUGCUCUUCUGCUGCUACACCAGCUCCCAAAGUUCCUCAUUCUUCGAAGAAAGUAAUCAGGUUAUCCCAAACAUAGGUACAAUAUCCUGAUGUAGAUCUUCUGUCAUCUGUAAACUCUGCCCAAUCUGCAUCAGUGUAAAUUUCAACACCUCUUCUUUCUGUCUUCUGAAAGAACAAUCCUUAUCCUGUAGUCAUUUUGAGAUACCUUAGAAUUCAAUACACAGCUCUUAUGUGAUUUUUAGUUAGCUGAUUCAUGAACUGACUUACUGUACUCACUGCAAAACUGAUGUCUAGUCUUGUAUAUGCUAAGUAGAUAAGUUUCUCAACAAGUCUUUGGUAUCUUCUUUUGUCAACCAUUUUAUCACUGAUUCUGGAUCCAAAUUUGAUAACUGAAUCCAUCAGGGUGUCAACGAGCUUGCUUCCUAGCAUCCCAAUCUCCUUUAGGAGAUCCAAAACGUACUUUCGUUGAGAUACUGAAAUUCCCUUUUGGGAUCUAGCCACUUCCAUACGGAAGAAGUAUUUCAGUACCCCAAGAUCUUUUAUUUCAAAUUCUCUGGUCAGGAAUUUUUUAAAUUUCUGAAUCUUCUCAAGGUGAUUUCCUGUAAGAAUGAUAUCAUCAACAUAUACAAUCAAAAUAGUUUUCUUACCUGAGAUGUAGUGUUUAACAAACAGUGUAUGAUCGGAUUGACAUUGUUCAUAUCUUUCAUAUUUUACGGCUCUUGUGAGUCUAUCAAAUCAUGCCAUUGG